rnacentral:rRNA from 1 species
AUGAGCUUCGCUCAAGAGCAUAGCUCAUACCAAAGCAAUUACUCACAUGGGUGGACUGAAAACCAGAAUAUGUCAUAUAGGAACAACAGCCCUGAGAUCUCAUCGGUUGCCUCUAGUUAUCCAAUGCAGGGAUUUAGGUACAAUGAGGAGAGCCACAACUAUGCACCACAACAAUUUCAUUCAGCUCCUACUCAUAUACCUCAACACCAGGAGACGUGUCUAAUGGAGUUAAAUGGUCCUCCACUUGGUCAACCAACAACUCCAGCACCUGUUGAGCAAUUUCAUGCACAAGUGCCCACACAAGAUGACUUUGAUGAUAUAGACAAGCUAACAUUGCUUAGUCUCGAGUUCACUUGGAGUGCUGAAGAUGAUUCAAUUAGGCCGGUGAUACUAGAGGAAAUGAAGAAGAUCAAGAGUGGAAAAGACCUAGUGGAAGAAGUAAGGAAAAUUGAGAAGAAUAUCAAUGCCGGGUGCAUUAUCUCAUCCCUCCUUGAGCCGAUUGUUGCCGAGAUUCCCCUUGAUACAUGUGACGUUCCAAUACCGUCACAUCCAGCUGAGCAAGAUAGUAAGAGUCCAGAGGAAGAAAGAUCUCAGAUUGAAGAAGAAAUACUUGAAGACAAGGAACAAGAUGAUCCAGAGCUCGAACAACAAAGUGAUCAAGUUGAAGACUCAUCAUGUAUUAUUCUUGAAGAAUUAUUUUCCUUAUGCUAG